GAUGAACGCUGGCGGCGUGCUUAACACAUGCAAGUCGGACGGAAAGCCCGCUGCACGCUGGGUUCCUCGAGUGGCGGACGGGUAAGUAACACGAAGGUGCCCUGCCCUGGGCUUCAGGAGAAGCCUGGGGAAGUGAGUACACUACCGGCUGGGACGCCAUAGUGGGAGGUGGGGCGGAGAGGUGUUCGGUGUGGGAUGAGCAGUCGGCGUCUCAGCAUCUUGGUGGGGUGAUGGUCUACCAACGAGGCGACGGGUAGACGGUGCGCGCGGGGGUUGAGCCGCAAUGCUGGGACUGAGAGACGGCGAAGACUACGACGGGAGGCAGCAGUGGGGAAUUUUCCGCAAUGGGAGAAAGGCUGAAGGAGCGAUGCGGCGGGGAGGUAGGAGGCCCACGGGUCGUGACCUUCUUUUCCCGGAGAAGAAGAAAUGACGGUAUCUGGAGAAUAAGCACCGGCUAACUCUGUG
rnacentral:rRNA from 1 species